rnacentral:rRNA from 1 species
GAUGAACGCUAGCGGCAGGCUUAAUACAUGCAAGUCGUACGGUAGAGGAUGUAGCAAUACGUUCUUGAGAGUGGCGCACGGGUGCGUAACGCGUAUGCAACCUACCUAAAACCGGGACACAACCCUUCGAAAGGCGGGCUAAUAUCCCAUAACACUGCGGAGUGGCAUCAUUUUGCAGUUAAAACUCUGGUGGUUUUAGAUGGGCAUGCGUGACAUUAGCUAGUUGGUGGGGUUACGGCUCACCAAGGCAACGAUGUCUAGGGGUUCUGAGAGGAUAGUCCCCCACACUGGUACUGAGACACGGACCAGACUCCUACGGGAGGCAG